rnacentral:lncRNA from 1 species
UGACCCAAUAGGGGCUUUACACGACCGUGCCCCCUUUUUCACCUAAAAAACCUAAAACUUUCACUUUGUCUUCUUCUUUGUUUUUCACCCCUACCAUUGUUCCCAUUUUCCCUCACUAGUCUGGCAGCCCUCUCCUUGACCACUAUCGUCGCUACCCGUCAUGCUCCUUUCCCCUUUCCCUUUCUUCCUCCCCUCUUCUCCCUCAUCAAGAGAACUCGUCCUUCCUUCCACCACUUCUCUUCCAUCCCCUAAUGAACCCGCUCUCCUUUCCUUCUCAUUGCAGCCAUUUCCCCUUGCCAAAAUCACCACACAGCCCUCUCCUCCUUCCCCCUUUCCCCUUUUCAGAUCUCCCUUCCUCCUUUCAACUUUGACCACCCCCACAACCCACCCUCACCCAUGGUCUAGCCACAACCCUCCCCUCCCCUCCCAUCCCCUCACCAACCCAACCCCCCUUUCCCUUUUCUCCCCUCACCCCUCACAAACCCAAUGCCACUGUACAACCCAAAUUUAGCCCGGGCCCAUUUAAAAAAUAAACAAACCAUUCAGACCCAAAAAUAACUAAACCCAAACCCAUUUCCAACUAGCCCAAAAACUAAAACAUUUCAGAAAACCCUAAUCCCCCUAACCCUAGAUGCC